rnacentral:rRNA from 1 species
GACGAACGCUGGCGGCGUGCUUAACACAUGCAAGUCGAACGGAAAGGCCCUGCUUUUGUGGGGUGCUCGAGUGGCGAACGGGUGAGUAACAUGUGAGUAACCUGCCCUUGACUUUGGGAUAACUUCAGGAAACUGGGGCUAAUACCGGAUAGGAGCUCCUGCUGCAUGGUGGGGGUUGGAAAGUUUCGGCGGUUGGGGAUGGACUCGCGGCUUAUCAGCUUGUUGGUGGGGUAGUGGCUUACCAAGGCUUUGACGGGUAGCCGGCCUGUGAGGGUGACCGGCCACAUUGGGACUGAGAUACGGCCCAGACUCCUACGGGAGGCAGCAGUGGGGAAUAUUGCACAAUGGGCGGAAGCCUGAUGCAGCAACGCCGCGUGCGGGAUGACGGCCUUCGGGUUGUAAACCGCUUUCGCCUGUGACGAAGCGUGAGUGACGGUAAUGGGUAAAGAAGCACCGGCUAACUACGUG